rnacentral:rRNA from 1 species
CGGGUUGUUGCUGGCCCCCAAACCGGGCACGUGCACGCCCUGUUUACGCAUCCACUCACACCUGUGCACCCUCUGUAGUUCUGUGGACCGGGAGACGUCGUCUUCCUUCCGUGGCUCUACGUCUUUACACACACGCCGUAGCGAAGUCUCAUGGAAUGUUUUUCGCGUUUAACGCAAUACAAUACAACUUUCAGCAACGGAUCUCUUGGCUCUCGCAUCGAUGAAGAACGCAGCGAAAUGCGAUAAGUAAUGUGAAUUGCAGAAUUCAGUGAAUCAUCGAAUCUUUGAACGCACCUUGCGCCCCUUGGUUAUUCCUCGGGGCAUGCCUGUUUGAGUAUCAUGAACACCUCAACUCUCGUGGUCUUCCAUGAUGAGCUUGGACUUUGGGGGUUUGCUGGCCCUGUGGCCGGCUCCUCUCAAACGAAUCAGCUUGCCAGUGUUUGGCGGCGUCACGGGUGUGAUAACCAUCUACGCUUGCGAUCGCCUGCCAGAUAACCCUCAGCGAUGAAGGUUCAUUGGGGCUCACAAAAGUCUCUCCACGGCGAGGACAAAUUUUGAAUGUUCGAUCUCAAAUCAGGUAGGACUACCCGCUGAACUUAAGCAUAUCAAUAAGCGGAGGAAAAGAAACUAACAAGGAUUCCCCUAGUAACUGCGAGUGAAGCGGGAAGAGCUCAAAUUUAAAAUCUGGCGUGCCUCCGGUCGUCCGAAUUGUAGUCUGGAGAAGCGUUUUCCGUGCUGGACCGUGUAC